rnacentral:rRNA from 1 species
UACAGAGGUGCCGAGCGUUAGGCGGAAUCACUGGGCUUAAAGCGUGUGUAGGCGGGUCGUUAAGUGUCUUGUGAAAUCCCCCGGCUCAACCGGGGAAUGGCUGGGCAUACUGGCGAUCUUGAGCAGUCUAGGGGCAGAUGGAACAAGUGGUGGAGCGGUGAAAUGCGUAGAUAUCACUUGGAACGCCAAAGGUGAAAACAGUCUGCUGGGGACUUGCUGACGCUGAGACACGAAAGCCAGGGGAGCGAACGGG